CUCCCAUACUAGUUCUACUACGGCAUAAACACAGAACUGUUUCCAUCACCUUUAUGUAAACUAAUGGACAGCGACUCCAUUCUUAUUCUAGGAAAGACUGACUCAUAACAACUGAACGAACUGAAGAACGUUAGGUAGAAUAGCUGCCGGAAAUUCGCCAGUGAGUGAUUGUCACGUGGAAAAAACCAGACACUAACCACGUGACAAUCAUAAUGUGCGAGAACUUCACCGGAUGCACAGUAAAAGAAACAUAUUUUACGUAGGCUAAACGAAAUAAAUUAUAACUUCAUAUCUUAUCUCUAAAAAAAAUGAGUUGUAAGAACAAGAUAUAAUACUCAAAAUGAAAUAUGGACUUUAAACGAAUGGCAUCUGAAAAACACUGCAUUAUACUUCGGAUAGAAUAGAUGAUAUUCGUAUGCCCAUUCGAAGUCGUCAAACUACAAGUUCGCUUAUCAUGGUAUAUAUAUUCGAUACUACUAUAGGAGUACUAGAGGUAACUUCACUACUGAAGCUGCAGUGGAACGAUCACGUGAUGAUUUAGUUGCCUAGGUGGAGUUUGAACUCAAGAAUGAUAUUAUCCCCCUUUUUUUCUUUUCCAAUAAUUAAUUUUCCUUCUCGAUCUUUCCAGUGACGGUAUUAUAGUGUGAACGGUUCUUAAGGUAAAGUAUAAG